UUUAAAGCCUGUUACUAGUUUUUACGAUAAAAUACUCUUGUACAUGUGGUGAAAGUUGUCAUGAAGGGUGGUGAAAGUGACAUGUGUUACCUGUCCCCCAAAUAUCAUUGUCACAUGUCUCCUUAACUUAUAACACACAAAACAUUUUUUAAACAGACAUAAAAUAAUUUGGCUUUGACUUGUACAAUAAAAUAUAUUGACUUUAA